UACGGAGGAUCCAAGCGUUAUCCGGAUUUAUUGGGUUUAAAGGGUGCGUAGGUGAGAUGAUAAGUCAGAGGUGAAAGCUAGCAGCUUAACUGUUAAAUUGCCUUUGAUACUGUUAUUCUUGAGUGUAGUUGGCGUUGGCGGAAUGUGACAUGUAGCGGUGAAAUGCGUAGAUAUGUCACAGAACACCGAUCGCGAAGGCAGCUAACGAAGCUAUCACUGACACUGAUGCACGAAAGCGUGGGGAGCAAACAGG
rnacentral:rRNA from 1 species